GACAUGACGAAGACUAAAGUAGGAGUUCAAUCAAACAAGGACAUUAGUUCUUCGACCCGUCUGACAACGACGCAAACCAAACGGGAAAGACCAAGUGCAAAGAAGACAGAGGACUUGUCUGAGAAAAGAGGCAAGAGAUAUAGGCUACAAACUGAGUAGAGAGCAGAGAGUCCAAAGUUUGACAUCUAGAUACAAGAUCGGGAUGAAGCGACACCCUGAGAAGUUAUCCAUCCCUUUAAUUGUACUCUGUUUGGGGAGCCUGCUGAUCACUGCCUUCUGGAUCAUUGUGGACAACGGCCAUCUUUUACCAAGUGAACCACCUUCACCCAAGAAAAUCCCCCCUUGGCCCUCUGACCUUUGCAAAGGAUGCAGGGAGCUCAUUGAAAAAGUAAGAGAACUCUACUCAAAAACUUGGAAGAAGCAAGAAGAUAAUUACAGAAACUUCAGUUCUCAGCUGAGAAGUCAGGGCCAGGGACUUGACAGCGCCAUCAUUACCCAGGCCAACUCUCCAGUGGGAUCAAAUAUUGUGUACUCUGAGGAAAGCACGACGACCCGCAUGGUGACUCCAGAGAUGUUCAGCACCUUCAUAAAGGAGAAUCCAUUUCCAAAGAAAAUAUAUGACACGUGUGCUGUUGUUGGGAACUCAGGGAUUCUGACAAACAGCAACUGUGGAGAGAUGAUCGAUUCGGCUCAGCUUGUUAUCAGGUGCAACCUACCUUCUUUGGGAAAAGGCUAUGAGAAACAUGUGGGCAACAAGACUGACAUUGUGACAGCAAAUCCGAGGAUCCUCGUUAGAAAGUAUGGGCCCUUAGACGGGCCUAGCCGUCCAUUUGUGGAGAGUCUACAUAUUUACGGCAAGUCCCUGCUGCUUCUACCUGCCUUUGCCUUUGACUUUUGUACUCCUUUGUGCCUGAAGGCUGCAUACAGCAUGAGGGACCUUGAAAGUCCAAUUAGGCCCACCUACUUCAACCCUGAUUACCUCCGGAGACUGAACAACUUCUGGCGCUCCAGAGGCCUACACAGAGGCCUACACAGAGGCCUACACAGAGGCAUACUCAGCACCGGCUUAGUGAUGGUUAACAUAGCGCUGGAAAACUGUGCCAACGUGCAUGUGUACGGUUUCUGGCCCUUCAGUAUUCAUCCAUUUGAACUCAAUGCCGUGAAAAACCACUAUUUCGAUGAUGAAACAGUUAACUGGGGAGCGCAUUCCAUGCCUGCUGAGUUUAAUCUGUUGUUGCAGCUGCACAGUCAAGGUGUGCUCAGGCUUCACCUGGGGAACUGUCGACCAGGUAACAAUUAGUUUUCAGGUCCAGAGACAGAUGAGACUGGGCAUCUGAAUAAUUGGGACAUUUCCUUGUGGACUGAGGACUAAUCUCAGAAUUUGUCUCUAAACUAUGCCUUUUCAAUCCAAUCCACUCACUCUCUCCCCAUAUCAGCUCUUAUGCCCCUUUCACACCAACGCGGUUCCAGGGCCGGUUCGGAGCUUGAGCCUGAUAAGCACCGUUUUUCCUGUUCACACCGCAGCGGAGCCGGCUGUUUUUUACCUGAAAACCGGUUCUUACCAUGUGUUACGGAGUUACAAAUGUGUAUACACAAUUAUUAAUUAUAAAUUACAAUUUACAAUAGGUUGUGAAUUUUAUUUCUAUGAGAUUGUUUCCUUUUAAUAUUUUUGAGUAUUGUUUCUAGUGGGAACACUUUCCCGUUGCACAUCGUUUUCUAUUUCCUGGAUGUCAUUUCCGCUUUCCCCUCACAUCGAAGUGAGCACUGCUGAGGGUAAGCUGUGCUAGGAAUUGUGUUAUAGUUCAUUACAAUUUUGUGUGUUAAACCGGCAAUUUAAGUUUAUGAAAGUGAUGUAUGUUGUUAAGUGUCAAUUUGGGUAUAUUAUUAACCCGUUUUUGUUAAGUUUCCACCGUAAGAAAUUGUAUUUUUGAGCGAUAUCCACGGUGUGGUUUUGGCGGGAAAUAGACGCGUUCUGCGUCAUUUUCUUUGUUUACAUUGGUUACACUUUCUGACUUUUCUUUCUUUUCUUUUGUAAAGAUGUGCUAUGCGGAUGCAAAGAGAAUAUUAUUUUUGUUCUCAGCAAGAAGGAAAACUUUGUUUCGGAAAAGGCUGCUAAUUGCAAGACGUAAUACAGAAGAAGCUGAGGGGAGACUUAUGGCAAUCGUACAACGCGGCAGAGACUACUCCAGGACGACUCAACGACAACGCUACUCGAAGUUAGGUUGCCACCGCAGACCAUGUGUGUGGAUGCUUGACCGAGCAACCGAGUGGUGGGGUGUGAUUGUUCCAUCUUUCACACACACUCAGUGGGUGAAGAACUUCAGGAUGUCUGAGGAAACCUACGUCUACCUGUGCAACAAACUGCGGCCAGCGAUGGAGAGACAGGACACACCAUUCCGCGAGUGUAUACCUCUAAAGAAGAGGGUGGCCAUCGCACUGUGGAAGCUUGCGACCGGCUCAGAGUACAGAAGCAUUGGACAUCUUUUCGGAGUGAGCAACACAACUGUGUGCCGGUGUGUGCAAGACUUCUGUGCUGCUGCAGAGACGUUGUUAGUACCGGAACUAAUUUGUUCACCAGACCGGGAGCAGUUUGCAGAAAUGGCUGCCUACACUGAGAACAGGUGGGGGCUCCCUCAGUGUGUAGGUGCUAUUGAUAGAUCACACAUACCCAUCUUGGCACCAUAGGAAUACCACUGCGACUAUUUCAACCGUAAAGGCUGGCACUCCAUCAUCCUUCAAGGAGUUGUAGAUGGAAAGGGACAUUUCUGGAAUGUGUUUGCAGGAAUGCCUGGGAGCUUGCAUGACGCUCGGGUUUUGAGGCUGUCCUCAUUGUGGCCGCCGCCUUCUUACCCGACCUUGUGCCCGGCCUCCUGAGUUCCCCAGCGGCUUUCGCCCUCGAGCCCGGCCCCCUGAGUUCCCCAGCCGCGGCCUUCGCCCUCAAGCCCGGCCCCCUGACUCUUCCAGCCGCUGCCUUCGCCCUCAUGCCCGGCCCCCUGAGUUGGCCCGCUGUGGCCUUCACCCCUUUUUUAACUCUGCCGUCCGCCCGAGACGCCCUCCUCGAACUCUGCCUUGCCCCCGGGUCAUCCACCCGAGACCACCUCCGGUUCCUCUGACUUGCCUCUGGGCUGUCGACCCAAAAAAGUAAUAUAUUACACUACUUCGUUACUCUCUACAUAAAGUAACUUGUUACUUUACUCGGGGGUCCUUAGCUAUUAGC